GCCUUGGAUUCUUUAAGCCUGCGAGUAGAAUGAAAUUAGAUUCUUGCAAACUGCUCAGUAACACGUGGAUAACCUGCCCUAUGCUCUGGAAUAACCUCGGGAAACUGAGAAUAAUACCGGAUAGAUCACAACGCCUGGAACGGUGUGUGGUUGAAAGAUUACGGCAUAGGAUGGGUCUGCGGCGUAUCAGGUCGUAGGGGGUGUAAACGAAUCCGGACCCUACGGGGUGCAGCAGGCGCGAAAACUUCACACUGCAGGAAACUGUGAUGAGGGAACUCCAAGUGGAUGCACAUAGUGUAUCUCUUUUCUUUACUAUUAAUCGGUAUUGGAAUAAGGGCUGGGAAAGACCGGUGCCAGCCCGCCGCGGUAAUACCGGCAGCUCGAGUGGUCGUCGCUUUUGUUGGGCCUAAAACGUCCGUAGCCGGUUUGGUAAAUCUGUGGGUAAAUCAACUAGCUUAACUAGUUGAAUUCUGCAGAGACUGCCAGUAAAAUCCUGUCAUCCUUUGAGGACCACCAGUUGCGAAGGCGCCACACUAGAACGGAUUCGACGGUCAGGGACGAAGCCUAGGGGCACGAACCGGAUUAGAUACCCGGGUAGUCCUAGGUGUAAACGCUGUGAACUUGGUGUCGGGAGUCCGCAAUGGGCCCCCGGUGCCGGAGUGAAGAUGUUAAGUCACUGCCUGAAAGACGUCUGUCCC
rnacentral:rRNA from 1 species